AGUAAUUCCACCCACCUGGACAGUCUCUACCGUAGACCAGCUAGACAAGACCAAGUUUCCAUGCAGCGAGGUCACUGAAGGUGGCAACCGCUGACUCUGGGGAAGUGGGGAAGGGAGUCCACCUGAGGUGACACAAGUGGACUCCUGGAGACACUGAUCCGGGGAAGGCACCGCCGACCUUAGGGAAAUGGGGAAGGGAAGACAUCCGGAGCGAGCGGAUGGAUUCCUGGAUACAUGAACUUGAGGAAGGUUGUUGUUGAGGCUGACCUUGGGUAAGUGGGGAAGGGGAGACAUCCGGAGCGAGCGGAUGGAUUCCUGGAUACAUGAACCUGAGCAAGGCAAGAAUACAUACAGUUGAGGCUGACCUUGGGUAAGUGGGGAAGGGAAGAUAUCCGGCGGUAGACGGAAGGAUUCCUGGAUACAUGAUCCUGCGGACGGCAAGAAUACCGCUGACCUUGGGGAAGUGGGGAAGGGAGUUCACCUGAGGUGACAUAAGUGGAUUCCUGGAGACACUGAUCCGGGGAAGGCACCGCCGACCUUAGGGAAAUGGGGAAGGGAAGACAUCCGGAGCGAGCGGAUGGAUUCCUGGAUACAUGAACUUGAGGAAGGUUGUUGUUGAGGCUGACCUUGGGUAAGUGGGGAAGGGAAGAUAUCCGGCGGUAGACGGAAGGAUUCCUGGAUACAUGAUCCUGGGAAUGGCAAGAAUACCGCUGACCUUGGGGAAGUGGGAAAGGGAGUCCACUCAGGUGACAUAAGUGGACUCCUGGAGACACUGAUCCGGGGAAGGCACCGCCGACCUUAGGGAAAUGGGGAAGGGAAGACAUCCGGAGCGAGCGGAUGGAUUCCUGGAUACAUGAACUUGAGGAAGGUUGUUGUUGAGGCUGACCUUGGGUAA